rnacentral:lncRNA from 1 species
GAUAGGUAGUGGAAAUGAGAAGAUAGAAAUAUGGAACAGAGAUCCACAUUGUUGAUGAGCUAUAUAAAGAGAUAAAAUCGGUCAAGGAUGGCACGUUCAAGUGUAAAGGUACAGUACAAAUAAAUGAGGGACAUAAUUGAUUGCAAUGACGAAAAUGAAUUUUCUUAAAGGACGAAAAACAUACUAGCAUAAAACAGACAUAAUUUGUCUUUGGUAGUUUGGCUUACUAAGAUGUCCUAAGAGAUAUAGUAUGUAUAGGUUAGAGAUAGAGGCCAUGAUGAAUCUCA